rnacentral:lncRNA from 1 species
CUCCCUUAAAAGUUUUUGCAGUGAUGCACUAUGCAAUUAUUGUGAGGCAAAAUAAUUGUUAAAUUAUUUUAAGAAUAAAAGUAACUUAAUAAUAUGAAUUAGGCCUAAUAAUCAGAAGAAUGUAACAGGCCUACAUUAAUUGAAAAUGUCAAAUUUAGAUAUAACUAAAGUAGUAUAAAAUAAAUUUUUAUUUCAGAAAUGUCAUGUUUGUGAUUUUUUUUUUUUUUUUUUUUUUGGUUCUACAAAUAAUAAAACAGGUGCAAUAUAUAUGUAUUAUAUAUAAUUAUAACAGGAAAGUGCCCUUAAAAUGUUACCAACAAUUGACAUUUGAACUGUUCAAAUAUUAUUUACAUAUUUACCUAUUUCUAUUAACUAAAACAGGAUUUGCGACUACACUCAAAUUAUAUUAAUCAUUUAAAAUAUAAUGCAGCUUCAAAUUAUUUCUGUUCUCCUCAUAUCCUACACCCUCAGCUAGGCCUACUUAAAACAGCAAUAGCUAAAAAUGAAUAAAACCGAUACAAACUCAAACUGCAUCAUGUUCAGAUGACACACUUUUUUAAUUAUUUGCUGGAAGAGACAUUGUAACAAAUAAAUGCCUGCCAUGAAUGCACACAAUGAGAGCAAAAAUAAGGAGCCUUGAUUUUACUGAAGAUGAACAAAAUGCUGAUUCUGUGACAAUAAAGCGUUUCUUCAUUUAAAUGCACAAGUAAAAUUGCGUUCUUCUUUAAUAAUAAACCAAUAGCACAUCACACGAGUUGGGAUGCAUUUGCAGGCUUUUAUUAUUGCUCAAGUACAACAUGCAGAAAUAGGGACCAGCAAACACAAUAUCACAGAAUGAACAGAGCCAGAUGCGGGGGCUGAUGGGAAAUAUAGUCAGAAUACGGUGUACCAAACAGUCAAUACUCAGGGGAUGGCGCCCUCUGUUGGUCAGAAGAGGGAAUCAUGGAGUUCUUCCCUGUGACAAAUACAGCACAGCUGCUGAGGUCACUCAUGCGUUUGAAGAUGAAACAUUACAUGGAGCGCGUUGCGUUCUGGGAAACAGUAUCCAGAUGCAUACAUCAAAUUUCAGCAAAUGUAGCAAGCAGGUAAUCCGGGCAUUCCAUGCAUACAGAACAUUCACAGUAUACACGCAGCAUACUGCAAUAUAAUAGGAGUUGUAUGGUAGUAUGCCAUUCCGAACAUAGCUUCUGUACUGAUUUCAGUGUACUUGAGUUAUAUUUAGCAGAUUCUGGUAAAUAUAGUAGGCAAUCCGGGUAUUUCAUGCAUACAGAAAAUUUGCACACCAUACAUACUGGAUACUGCAGAAAUAGUAAGAGUAGUAUGGUAGUAAAGCAUUUCGAACACAGCAUCAAUGUGUUAUAACUAGCAUGAUCUAAGACUACAUGCAGUGUUUCGGUGCCACCUAGUGUUUAGGAGAUAUGAAAAAUGCCUAUUGUUGCUUAUAAUUUCUGAAUGGUUUGGCCAAAAAUCACAAAACUGGUCUCUUUAGAUUAGGUGCAUAAUGCCAAGUCGAAGGAUACUCAAUUUUCCCAUGUCAACCAUUUUGGGCGUCGGCCAUUUUGAAUUUUGUAGUAAAAUGCUAUAUUUUACGAACGCAUUGACAUAUUGUUACUAAACUUGGUAUGGGUCAUCUGCACAAUGCGGUGAAGGAGCCUGAGAAGUUUUGAGUCAGUGCCACCUAGUGGUAAAAUCAAAUAUUCACAUGCUGUACUUAUUUUCACAGGAGUCACCUUUGUAGACUCCUGAAACCUUGCCGAGUCCAGCCAUACCAAACAUGUCAGGUUUUGCCUCAUGGUUUGCGCAACGUUGCAUUUUAGCGCUUAAAAAAACCUUUGCCAAUAUCUUAGAAACCGUUACUUUGAUAGACGUGAAACUACCAUACAAAAUUUGAAAUCCUAGCAUGCCGGCUAUAUGCUAAUGCCCAAUUGACAAAAUUUUUAUAGUAAGUGGCAAAUAAAUGCAAACAAGUUGGCAAUCAGUGAUUUUUUCUGCUCUCCUAUAUAAAAAUGUCUCUAAUAUUUUCACCAAAUUUGAC